AACCAUAUAUCCCCAUAUACACAAUCUUUUGUUCAUAAUCUUACACGUGAAUGUGAUACAGGCAUACAACAACAAGAACAGGCAGUAGAGGAUUCAAGCGCAGCAUGCCCUCGCAAGCCCGUAGAUGAACCUGGCAUCAUCCUCGGUGCAUAUAUGGGUCUCAUCCAACAAGCUGUGUGUUUUUUCAACAAUGCAAAUCUGGAGAGUUUUGGAUUAAUCCCAUCCAACUCGGCAGUAAAUUACCUAGUCGAACACCAUGCUCUCGCGUUGAUUAGAGAUACAGGUGGCCACCGGCGGCGCGGCCCGCUGCGCCCAGAUCCAGGCCCGUCUCCAGAAAAAUGAGGCCCCGGAACGUGACUAAAAUAGAGACUAUAAAAUAGAGAGGAACCUGUUCGCUUGUAUUUUGUUCAGGUCUUCAAAACUCAGGAGGUCCUCGCGACGUUCCUGAUCCCGUCUUCAGUGGCGGCGCUCUGCCCUCUGG
rnacentral:misc_RNA from 1 species